GAGGACCGUAUUCAUGGAAGAGGAUCGAACAGUAAAGAGCCCAGCAUUUGAUAAAAAUGAGAAUAUAUCGCCUCAAGCAGAAGCAGAUGAAGAUAUGGGAGAUGAAGUAGACAGUAUGUUGGAUAAAUCUGAAGUAAACAACCCAGCAAUUGGUAAAGAUGAAAAUAUAUCGCCUCAAGUAAAAGGACAUGAAGACAGGGGACAUGAAAUAGGCAGUAUGUUGGAUAAAUCUGGAGGUCUCUGCUAAGAAAAACUGAGAACUUCACUGUAAGUGCAAGAGUUUGAACAGACUGGCUCCUAGCAGAAAUCAGGAAGGCCAAGGAAAUGGAGACCCUGAAAGUAUUCUUGGGGCCUGGGGAUGUGAGGUAUGACAUUUAUAAGACGCUUCACAUAAAGAGAAAAUGGAUGGAAACUUAUGUCAAAGAAUCUUUCAAAGGCAGGAACCAGAAAUUAGAAAGAUUUUGCAAAAUGAACGAACGAGAGAGGAAGAACAUCAACAACAAAUUUUGUGAGCAGUAUAUAACUACAUUUCAGAAGUCUUAUAUGGAUGUACAGAAAUUCAAUGAGGAAAAAGAAAAAUCAGUGAAUAGUUGUCAAAAAGAACAACAAGCAUUGAAACUGUCCAAAUGUAGUCAGAACCAGACCCUGGAAGCAGCUACUGCUACAAACACACCAGUAGUGACCCACCUGACUGGUCGAAAAGCCUAGACAUGGUCCCGAGGCGAAAACUUCACGGAAACUCCUGUAUUCAUGCUGCAUCAUUGGACUCAAACUGAAUGGUCCAUGUGUUGCCACUGAUGUGAGCCAUU